AACUUCUCAGGGACUUAGUCUGCCAGAAACUAGUGAUGCUGCGUUUCACUCACUUGUUAUUGGAUAGAGAGAAAUGUUACCAGAAUUUCCCAGGAACAGAGCUUCUUUGAAGUCUCUACAUGCAUUCUUAUUUGAAUCCUUUCCCCUGAUGUUUUCCCUCCCUCCCUCUACUCACAGCCCUGUUCAGAAGCCUGAACAUGUCAUGAUGGCUGGAGUCUCAAAUCUAGGGGACAAUCCGAGGUGAAGAUUGUACAAAAAUAUAUGAUGUUAAAAGGCUCCUGCAAGAAGGGGUCCUGAAUAUUAAGUCUCUUUAGCUUAAAGGGCCUCGCUUCCCCUGUGGUGAUUCCUCAAGAUUGGCCUAUAAUCAUUAUUGACUUAAAGGACUGCUUUUAUACGAUUCCCAUAGCAGAACAGGACAGAGAAAAAUUUGCAUUUACGAUACCAGCUAUCAAUAAUGAAAGGCCAGAUUGUGGAUUUCAUUGGAAAGUGUUCCUCAAGGGAUGCUAAACAGUCCUA